GCCAGGACGACCCCACCACAGAGAAUGACCCGGCUCGAGUGUCAACAGCCCUCGCUCCGAGGGCAUCUGGUCAAGUCCUCUGAGGUCCAGCGCCGAUACUGGCUCGUUAACGAGUCCUGGAAACAAUGGGCCCAGCAUGAAGAGUUCCUCUCUGCCAGGCCUGGGGCACGCAUGGCAGCGGUGAGAACACGUGAGCAGGACAGAGACAAGGAAAAGGCUGCAGCGUGGAUGACAUACUACCCAGGACUGCGUCUGGCCUAACAAUGAUGUCCUCAAUGCCUUCCCCUGGGCUGGGGCCACUGCAGGCCUCAAUGAAUACUUGUGGAAUAAAUGACAAAUGAACAAAAGACCUCGGGAGCUUUUUAAACAUGGAGAUUUCUAGGUCCCGGUCAAGAUCUGCUGGCUCAGAAUCUCUCAGGGUGAAACUCAAGAAUGCGUAUUUUGUUCAAAAGCUUUCUGGCAAUCCCAGUAAUUGCCAGGAUUGGGAAGCUAGCUUGUGGGGAAGAGGAGUCCCAGCUACAGAAGGCGGUGGCCACAGCUGAAGGCAUCUCAGAGCAGGGCCGUAAGGAGCGGUCACCAACUCGGGCAGGUCACCACUCUCCUCAUUGUUUUAGGUUAAAAGAGUCUAACAGCAUUCUUUGGAGUGUGGAUCUUGAAUUAUUUCCUUCAGAACCACCUGAGUGAGAGGAAGCCUUUUUUAAAAAAUAUAUAUUUUAUUGAUUUCAGAGAGGAAGGGAGAGGGAGAGAGGGAAAGAAACAUCAUUGAUAAGAAAGAAUCAUUGAUCGGCUGCAUCCUGCACGCA